UCUCCAAAUUGAGAAUAAAUCUAAUUUGACAGAGUGGAUACUGAGUGGAGAUCCUUUACAAUCAAAUUUUCUCCAAAAAAAGAAAAGAAAAAGGCAAAUAGGAAUUUAAGACUCUCCCUUCCUAUUUAUAAACCCCAUUAUUUCUUUGGAGUAAGUAGUAACAAACAUUAUAGAGCUUAGGCAUUUUUAUAGAUAGAAAAAAAAAAAGGUUUCAAGAAAGAAGAAGAAAAAAAAAAAUGGAGGUGUUGAGACUAUGUUUAAUGGCUAUAUUUGGUUUGGUUAUGGCAUUGGUUGUUCCUUCUAUCAAUGCUCAAGUGCCUGAACCUGCUCCUGCCCCUACAAGUGAUGGAGUUGCAAUUGAUCAAGGUAUAGCUUAUGUGCUAAUGUUGGUUGCUUUGGCAAUUACUUACAUGAUUCACUAAGCAAUAUGUACAGCAUCCGUUGCAGUUUUUCUUUCUAUUUUUUUUUUAAAAAUUAUUCUGGUUGUGAUUUUUUUUUUUUUUUUUAAAUUGUAGGCAAUGAAUUAAUCAUGUUUUAAGAAUUAUUUCUUUGUAUUCUUUUUGGAGGUUGAAAUCCUCUAUUUCUUCCAUUCAAUGAUUAAAUUGUAGACAUUCUUUAUAAUCCUUUAUAUUUUUUAAUUUAUUUUUAUACCA